rnacentral:lncRNA from 1 species
AGUGAACCUAAAUGAAUGCAAAUGCUGUGAAUGAUUUGAAGUGAAAGAUGUAUCAAAUUAAUACAGCAAAGGUGAUGCAAAUACCCAUUAGAACCUAAAUUGAUUUGGAAAUGUUUGCAUUUUCACUUAUUUAAAAACAAAUCUAAUUGACAGAAAAGUAGCAAAAUCAAGCUCUUUAGUAUUUCAACCACAUAUGGUAAUCAUGUCAUUUACAAACUGAUCGAUUACAGUUGGGAUUCCAGCAACUGACAAUUCUUCUUGUGCUGCAUGCACAAGCAAUGAAUGGAUGCCACAAGAAGAUAUUCUAACAAAUUAGAAAAUAAGAAUUUCUAUUCGAAAUGAAUACCCGUAUUUGUAACAGCAUUUGCAACAGCCAACAACUCUUCAUGCGCAUCAUCUGAACUAACUAAAGAAUUGAAAUAAAAAGAAACAAAAGAAAUAGAAAAAAGAGUGCUCUACACAUUCUGGAACUCCUAUUCUAGGAGAACAAAAUUAAAUAUUUAGAUCAAGAGUCAAAAUUUAUUCAUAAAGAAAAUUGAGUGUGUAUUAGCUACAUUGUGCAUUUGACUUAUAUGAAGCUUCCUAUCAGAGGGCUUCCUAGUAGAUGGUCCACUUGCCCCGUUGAACAAAAUGUUCAUCAAGUUAUAAGAAUUUCUCAAACUAAUGAAGAUAUCAGCUCUCACUUAUAUAUAUAUAUAUAUAUAUAUAAGGUAAAUGAAAAUGAAAAAGGGGAAUUAUAUUGAACUUCUCAUUCUUUUCAAAACCAAAUCUCGAACUUCUUAUUUGUUUGGUUAUUCCAUCAUUUCCAUUUGUACAAUCAAAAUAGAUUUUUCCACUUGUUAGAAAAAUAAACAUGCAUUUAACCUAUUUAAUUUA